AGCGCACAUGGUGGAUGCCUUGGCGANNNGAGGCGAUGAAGGACGUGGUAAUCUGCGAAAAGCACAGGCGAGCUGAUAAACAAGCUUUGACCCUGUGAUCUCCGAAUGGGGCAACCCUUAUAUCUGCGGAUAUAAAUCAUUAACUGAAUACAUAGGUUAAUGAGGCGAACCCGGCGAACUGAAACAUCUAAGUAGCCGGAGGAAAAGAAAUCAACCGAGAUUUCCCAAGUAGCGGCGAGCGAACGGGAAGUAGCCUGCAAGUGAUAUUUAACGUUUUAGUGGAAUGAGCUGGAAAGCUCUGCGAUAGAGGGUGAUAGUCCCGUACACGAAAAAGCGUUAUUGGUACUAAGCUUGCGACAAGUAGGGCGGGGCACGAGAAACCUUGUCUGAACAUGGGGGGACCAUCCUCCAAGGCUAAAUACUCCUUAUCGACCGAUAGUGAACCAGUACCGUGAGGGAAAGGCGAAAAGAACCCCGUUAAGGGGAGUGAAAUAGAACCUGAAACCGUGUGCGUACAAGCAGUAGGAGCCCCAUCACUAAGCCAUUUUAGUGGUGGAACAUGAAACACCUUUGAGAUUGAGGUGGCGACCGAUAGCGAGCCUAACCCAAUAAAACAAGCAGAGGUGGCUUAGUGAUGGGGUGACUGCGUACCUUUUGUAUAAUGGGUCAGCGACUUAAUUUAUGUAGCGAGCUUAACCGAAUAGGGGAGGCGAAGGGAAACCGAGUCUUAAUAGGGCGAUUAGUUGCAUGGAUUAGACCCGAAACCUGGCGAUCUAUCCAUGGUCAGGGUGAAGGUUGGGUAACACUAACUGGAGGCCCGAACCGGGAUCUGUUGAAAAAGAUUCGGAUGAACUGUGGAUCGGAGUGAAAGGCUAAUCAAGCCAGGAGAUAGCUGGUUCUCCUCGAAAGCUAUUUAGGUAGCGCCUCAUGUAUCACUCACGGGGGUAGAGCACUGUUUGGGCUAGGGGGUCAUCCCGACUUACCAACCCCAUGCAAACUCCGAAUACCGUGAAGUGCAAUCAUGGGAGACACACGGCGGGUGAUAACGUCCGUCGUGAAAAGGGAAACAACCCAGACCAUCAGCUAAGGUCCCAAAAUUAUGGCUCAGUGGAAAACGAGGUGGGAAGGCACAGACAGCUAGGAGGUUGGCUUAGAAGCAGCCACCCUUUAAAGAAAGCGUAAUAGCUCACUAGUCGAGUCGGCCUGCGCGGAAGAUGUACCGGGGCUUAAGCCAUAUACCGAAGCUAUGGAUGCCACACUUUGUGUGGCAUGGUAGAGGAGCGUUGUGUAAGUCUGUGAAGGUGAGUUGAGAAGCUUGCUGGAGAUAUCACAAGUGCGAAUGCUGACAUGAGUAACGAUAAAGGGGGUGAGAGGCCCCCUCGCCGAAAAUCCAAGGUUUCCUGCUCAACGCUAAUCGGAGCAGGGUGAGUCGGUCCCUAAGGCGAGGCUGAAAAGCGUAGUCGAUGGAAAACAGGUUAAUAUUCCUGUACCGGCUGUUACUGCGAUGGGAUGACGGAGAAGGUUAGGUUAGCCAACUGUUGGAUAUGUUGGUUUAAGUGUGUAGGCGUGCUGCUCAGGCAAAUCCGGGCGGCUUAGCUGAGGCAUGAUGACGAGUUCCAUUAGGAACGAAGUAACUGAUACCAGGCUUCCAGGAAAAGUCUCUAAGCUUCAGGUAACAGACGACCGUACCCCAAACCGACACAGGUGGAUAGGAUGAGAAUUCCAAGGCGCUUGAGAGAACUCGGGUGAAGGAACUAGGCAAAAUAGCACCGUAACUUCGGGAGAAGGUGUGCCCCCGUUAGGUGAAGCGACUUGCUCGCGGAGCUGAAGGGGGUUGCAGUGAACUGGUGGCUGCGACUGUUUAUUAAAAACACAGCACUCUGCAAAAUCGAAAGAUGACGUAUAGGGUGUGACGCCUGCCCGGUGCCGGAAGGUUAAUUGAUGGGGUUAUUCUUCGGAAGAAGCUCUUGAUCGAAGCCCCGGUAAACGGCGGCCGUAACUAUAACGGUCCUAAGGUAGCGAAAUUCCUUGUCGGGUAAGUUCCGACCUGCACGAAUGGCGUAACGAUGGCCACACUGUCUCCACCCGAGACUCAGUGAAAUUGAAAUUGCGGUUAAGAUGCCGUAUACCCGCGGCUAGACGGAAAGACCCCGUGAACCUUUACUACAGCUUUGCACUGAACUUUGAACCUACUUGUGUAGGAUAGCUGGGAGGCAUCGAAGCGUGAACGCCAGUUUGCGUGGAGCCGACCUUGAAAUACCAGCCUGGUAUGUUUGGAGUUCUAACCUCGACCCAUGAUCUGGGUCAGGGACAGUGUAUGGUGGGUAGUUUGACUGGGGCGGUCUCCUCCCAAAGCGUAACGGAGGAGCACGAAGGUACACUAAGUAUGGUCGGACAUCAUACGGUUAGUGCAAUGGCAAAAGUGUGCUUGACUGCGAGACAGACACGUCGAGCAGGUACGAAAGUAGGUCAUAGUGAUCCGGUGGUUCUGAAUGGAAGGGCCAUCGCUCAACGGAUAAAAGGUACUCCGGGGAUAACAGGCUGAUACCGCCCAAGAGUUCACAUCGACGGCGGUGUUUGGCACCUCGAUGUCGGCUCAUCACAUCCUGGGGCUGAAGCCGGUCCCAAGGGUAUGGCUGUUCGCCAUUUAAAGUGGUACGCGAGCUGGGUUUAGAACGUCGUGAGACAGUUCGGUCCCUAUCUGCCGUGGGCGUUGGAAAUUUGAGAGGAGCUGCUCCUAGUACGAGAGGACCGGAGUGGACGUACCCCUGGUGUUCGGGUUGUCAUGCCAAUGGCAUUGCCCGGUAGCUAUGUACGGACGGGAUAACCGCUGAAAGCAUCUAAGCGGGAAGCCCCCCUCAAGAUAAGAUUUCCCUGGACUUUAAGUCCCUGAAGGGCCGUAGAAGACUACUACGUUGAUAGGUUGGGUGUGGAAGUGCAGUAAUGUAUGAAGCUAACCAAUACUAAUUGCCCGUGAGGCUUGACC
rnacentral:rRNA from 1 species